UGCUAAUAUUUUGUGGUUGUCACAAUCAGAUCUAGUUUGCAGAUAUAAAAUUUUAUGUAUUUACGCCCUGUAUAUUUUCUGCAGUAAAUACUUUUAUACAUUUGUUUGUAUAAAAUAUUUGAUGGGUAUUUAUUUUCGCACUUAUAUUUAAUGACAGCAAAUAUAGUGAAAUUGAAUCCCCGUAAUGUUAUUUACUAAAACAUUGUUGAUGUUAUUAAUAAUCUUGUUACUGUAAUAUGUGUUUUUAUUCUAAUGUUUUAUGCAAUAAACAAUGCAAUUAGGAGAGAAAGACAUCACAGAGAAUGUUUUUAUGUAUAGUACAUCAAAAGUGUGUCUGAGGUAGAGGAUGUCAAUCUCUAUGUAUACAUUAAUGGUGUAUCUGAGGUAGAGGAUGUUAUAUAGGUAUACAUUAAUGGUGUAUCUGAGGUAGAGGAUGUUACAUAGGUAUACAUUAAUGGUGUAUCUGAGGUAGAGGAUGUUACAUAGGUAUACAUUAAUGGUGUAUCUGAGGUAGAGGAUGUUAAUCUAUAGGUAUACAUUAAUGGUGUAUCUGAGGUAGAGGAUGUUAAUCUCUAGGUAUACAUUAAUGGUGUAUCUGAGGUAGAGGAUGUUAUAUAGGUAUACAUUAAUGGUGUAUCUGAGGUAGAGGAUGUUACAUAGGUAUACAUUAAUGGUGUAUCUGAGGUAGAGGAUGUUAAUCUCUAGGUAUACAUUAAUGGUGUAUCUGAGGUAGAGGAUGUUAAUCUAUAGGUAUACAUUAAUGGUGUAUCUGAGGUAGAGGAUGUUAUAUAGGUAUACAUUAAUGGUGUAUCUGAGGUAGAGGAUGUUAAUCUCUAGGUAUACAUUAAUGGUGUAUCUGAGGUAGAGGAUGUUAAUCUCUAUGUAUACAUUAGUGGUGUAUCUGAGGUAGAGGAUGUCAAUCUCUAUGUAUACAUUAAUGGUGUAUCUGAGGUAGAGGAUGUUACAUAGGUAUACAUUAAUGGUGUAUCUGAGGUAGAGGAUGUCAAUCUCUAUGUAUACAUUAAUGGUGUAUCUGAGGUAGAGGAUGUUUAUCUCUAUGUAUACAUUAAUGGUGUAUCUGAGGUAGAGGAUGUUAUAUAGGUAUACAUUAAUGGUGUAUCUGAGGUAGAGGAUGUCAAUCUCUAUGUAUACAUUAAUGGUGUAUCUGAGGUAGAGGAUGUUAAUCUCUAGGUAUACAUUAAUGGUGUAUCUGAGGUAGAGGAUGUUUAUCUCUAGGUAUACAUUAAUGGUGUAUCUGAGGUAGAGGAUGUUUAUCUCUAGGUAAACAUUAAUGGUGUAUCUGAGGUAGAGGAUGUUAAUAUGUAGUAUUCCUGAAAGAGAGGUAUACAGUUAAGAAGAGUCAGUGUAACCAUGGUAAUUGUAUUUAAUCAACAAUUCACAAAGUUGUUGUUACAAUUUUACCACGGAAAUGUGAGGUAUGAACUCUGACAUUGAUUCAGUGUUACAGAGAAAUUAUAUUGUGCUACUGCUAUGUGACCAUUCUGAAUGGUCACAUAGCGGUAGCACGAUAUAAUUUCAGGUGAAUGAUUCAUAUGUUUCCUAAGGAUUGAGAGUGCUAUUAACUGUUUGUCAUAUCAUUAGUGGUGAGGAAAAUCUUGUUAUAUAAUAUCACUUUCAAGUUUCAUAACUAUGAAGAUUUGUUAUAUGUUGCAUAAUAUUUGUUUUCACAAUAGAUAUGAUUUUCAACAUUGAAUUAAUUUUAUAUCCCUGUAUUUUAAUGAAAGGUUGGGCAAAGCAACAGAAAUAUAGGGUUUCAUGAAAUCACCUAGGUAAACAGACAAGGUAAUGUUCCAGUUAGAAUGUGCUUGUCUUGUACAUGUAGGGUCAAAGUUUGUAGGAAUAUACAUUUUUAGUGUUUUCAACUAUUUUUAUAUGAAAUUAAGUUUCAAACGUACUGACAAAUAAAAUCUUACACUCCUGUCUUGAUAAUGGCAAAUCCAAGAAGUGAUUGAGGUGCUAUUCAUUAAAAUGCUCAUGAAAUAACUGUUGAUUAUUUAUUACCGUGUUUGACUUAAUACCAAGUAAACUGUACAAAAAAACAAAAUUGGGUGUGCUUAAUUAAAGCAUGUAAAGGGAAAAGUUUCCAUGUGAAACCUGGU